UGUUGCGACUGGUGGACUAAAAGAUCGAAGCGCGUUGGCACAUUAGAGUUGGACCGGAUUCAUAAGUCCAUGAGUGUUAUUGUCCGUGAGCCAGAUGGGCAUAACCGAUUGCUUGUCAAGAUCAUAGAUCUGCUGGCAUUUGUUAGACUGUAGUUCGUAUUGACAUGCUAAAAGUGAAAAUCAACAAUAAAUUACAAAGACAGAGGAAAAGGCAUAUUUGAUGCUGUAAGAACUGAACCGGUUUUCAGAGACAACAAAGGGCAUGUGUACUGGAGGUUAAAAGGGUGUUCUGAUAUAGGACUGGGGAUCAUUCUUCAAGAUAUAGGACUGGGGAUCAUACAGUUGAAGCAGCUGACAAAUGGUUUGAGUAUGAUGAUGACCAGAUGGAUUUGAUUGAAAAACACAUACAUGUCAUGAGCAACCGAAGUCACUGAAGAAUUUGAACGGGCAGAUAUGCCAGAUCUGUGGGGACACCGUAGGCCUAACUGAAAGUGGUGAAAUCUUUGUUGCUUGCAACGAGUGCGCCUUCCCGGUAUGCAGGCCAUGCUAUGAGUACGAAAGGAGAGAUGGGAAUCAAGCCUGCCCUCAAUGCAAGACUAGAUACAGAAGACACAAAGGUUGAUGGUGAUGAGGAUGAGGAGGACGACGAAGACUUGGAAAACGAGUUCAAUUAUGAUCAAGGGAACACCAAAGCUAGACGCCAUUGGCAGGGAGAUGAUGCUGAUCUUUCUUCGUCUGCUAGACACGAGUGACAGCAACCUGUCCCCCUUCUCACUAAUGGUCACCAAGUCUCUGGGGAAAUUCCAAGUGUUACAGACAAUUUGUCGGUAAGAAGAACAUCGGGUCCUUUAGCUCCUGGUAACAAGCAUGUCCACUCACUUCCGUACAUCGACCCCAGGCAACUAGUUCCUGUAAGAAGGGUGGAAGGAAACAUGCGAUACAUCAAAUACAUCAAACUUCUUCAACGUAAAGAUCAGCUACAUCACUGAACAAGCCAAAAGAUGCGCUGAAGUUGCAAUUUUAGAAAUAUUUUUGUAAUAUUGUCAAUGUAUAUUUUGUAAAGUGUUGGUUUAAAGUUCUCUCUAUUAUAUCAUCUCUUUAAGUUAUAAUAAGUCAACCACUUGAUAUGAAA